GGAGGGCCGCUCACUCACAAGCUCGCUCGCCCAUCGGGGGGCUCUCCUUGCCCGUCCCGCGCGCCCAGUGCAAUUGGAGAGAAGAGGGAGGGAGGGAGAGAGAGAGAGAGGUACGCAGAAACAAGCUCACGACGGGGCGGCUUCCCUUACCUGCGGAGCCCAGGAGAGAAGCCCCCAGGACAUCCUGCAGUGCAUUUUGCUAUAUUUUUAAUGAAUAUCUCAUUGAGUCUCAACCAAUUCAACAUAGUUUGAAGCAGCCGCAAAAAUGAAGUUUCUGGAGUAUAACUACUUUCAAAGAGUGACUUGAGAGUGUCCUUCAAUAAGGAGCAUGCUUCUCUAAAAUAUGAUGAUUGAGGAGGAGGAGGAGGAGGAGGAGGAAUGUUCCUGCAUGGCAGAAUAGAGUUGUGGUCUUUUCCAGCUCCAUGAUGAUGAUGAUGAUGCCGGUUUAAUAACUCUUAUCAAUGUGAACCAGCUUCUCUUAAGUAAUAAUAAAAAGAAUAAGAAGAAUG